rnacentral:rRNA from 1 species
CUAGUCCUGCGGGUUAAACGAAUUCGGCCUUGUGCCAAGCAGCCGCGGUAAUUCCAGCUCCAAUAGCGUAUAUUAAAGUUGUUGCCGUUAAAAAGCUCGUAGUCGAACUUCGGCGCCUGAUGGCCGGUCCGCCUUCUUGGUGUGUACUUGCUCAUCGGGCGCUUACCUCCUGGUGAACUCUGAUGUCCUUUACUGGGUGUCAGAGCAAACCAGGACGUUUACUUUGAAAAAAUUAGAGUGUUCAAAGCAGGCCUACGCCCGAAUACAUUAGCAUGGAAUAAUAGAAUAGGACGCGCGUUCCCAUUUUGUUGGUUUCUGAGAUCGCCGUAAUGAUUAAUAGGGAUAGUUGGGGGCAUUUGUAUUCCGUCGUCAGAGGUGAAAUUCUUGGAUUGCCGGAAGACAAACUACUGCGAAAGCAUUUGCCAAGGAUGUUUUCAUUGAUCAAGAACGAAGGAAGGGGGAUCGAAAACGAUCAGAUACCGUUGUAGUCUCUUCUGUAAACUAUGCCAAUUGGGGAUUAGCACAGGAUUUUCAAUGACUGUGUUAGCACCCGAAGAGAAAUCUUUAAAUGAGGUUCGGGGGGGAGUAUGGUCGCAAGGCUGAAACUUAAAGGAAUUGACGGAAGGGCACCACCAGGUGUGGAGCCUGCGGCUUAAUUUGACUCAACACGGGGAAACUCACCAGGUCCAGACACAAUAAGGAUUGACAGAUUGAUAGCUCUUUCUUGAUCUUGUGGUUGGUGGUGCAUGGCCGUUCUUAGUUGGUGGAGUGAUUUGUCUGGUUAAUUCCGAUAAACGACGAGACCUUAACCUGCUAAAUAGACCAGUCGACUUUGGUUGACUGCUUGUCUUCUUAGAGGGACUAUCAGCGUUUAGCUGAUGGAAGUUUGAGGCAAUAACAGGUCUGUGAUGCCCAAAGGCGAAUUCCCGGCCCGCAAAAUU